GGAUGUGAGGGUGAUCUGCCUAUGACAACAGUCUCCCCAUUGAUCACCAGGGUUGAUCUGACUAGAUAGGCAAGUGUCCCCUUCCUGCUCCAUGUAUGUCCCUCCAAAGCUGUGCACUCAAACUUCCCAAUAGAGGAGGACCAGUCUUUAGUCAAAGAUAAAUUAGUAGUAGCAUUCCCUUGCUGGACCCUCCAAACACUCUCAAAAUGUGCCACCAAGGACAGGAGUUCCAUCUCCAGGCAGGAGGAAAGCAUUUGCCU
rnacentral:snRNA from 1 species